GACAUGCCUAACACAUAGCAGUCGAACGUGCAGCACAUGAGAGCUUGCUCUCUGGGUGGCGAGUGGCGUGACGGGUAGAGGAAUACAUACGGAAUCUACUCUGUACGUGGGGGAUAACGUAGGAAACUUACGCUAAUACCGCAUACGACCUACGUGGUAGAAAGCAGUGGUGAUCUAUCGUGACCUUGCGCGAUUGAAUGAGUCCGAUAGUCGGA
rnacentral:rRNA from 1 species